rnacentral:rRNA from 1 species
UACGUAGGGGGCGAGCGUUGUCCGGAGUUACUGGGCGUAAAGGGCAUGCAGGCGGUCCGACACGUUUUGUGUGACAGCGGGUGGCUUAACUACCCGAGGAUACGAAAGACGGUUGGACUUGAGGACUCGAGAGGGACACGGAAUUCCGGGUGGAGUGGUGAAAUGCGUAGAGAUCCGGAGGAACACCGAAGGCGAAGGCAGUGUCCUGGCGAGUGACUGACGCUGAGGUGCGAAAGCCAGGGAGCGAACGGG